rnacentral:rRNA from 1 species
UACGUAGGGUGCGAGCGUCAAUCGGAAUUACUGGGCGUAAGGCGUGCGCAGGCGGUUUUGUAAGACAGACGUGAAAUCCCCGGGCUUAACCUGGGAACUGCGUUUGUGACUGCAAGGCUAGAGUACGGCAGAGGGGGGUAGAAUUCCGCGUGUAGCAGUGAAAUGCGUAGAGAUGUGGAAGAACACCGAUGGCGAAGGCAGCCCCCUGGGAUAAGACUGACGCUCAGGUACGAAAGCCAGGGGAGCAAACGGG